AGAGUUUGAUCCUGGCUCAGGAUGAACGCUGGCGGCGUGCCUAAUACAUGCAAGUCGAACGCACUGUGGUUCAACUGAUUUGAAGAGCUUGCUCUGAUAUGACGAUGAACAUUGCAGUGAGUGGCGAACGGGUGAGUAACACGUGGGAAACCUACCUCUUAGCGGGGGAUAACAUCUGGAAACAGAUGCUAAUACCGCAUAACACUAGCAACCGCAUGGUUGCUACUUGAAAGAUGGUUCUGCUAUCACUAAGAGAUGGUCCCGCGGCGCAUUAGUUAGUUGGUGAGGUAAUGGCUCACCAAGACGAUGAUGCGUAGCCGAGUUGAGAGACUGAUCGGCCACAAUGGGACUGAGACACGGCCCAUACUCCUACGGGAGGCAGCAGUAGGGAAUCUUCCACAAUGGACGAAAGUCUGAUGGAGCAACGCCGCGUGUGUGAUGAAGGGUUUCGGCUCGUAAAACACUGUUGUAAGAGAAGAAUAGCAUCAAGAGUAACUGCUUGGUGUGUGACGGUAUCUUACCAGAAAGGAACGGCUAAAUACGUGCCAGCAGCCGCGGUAAUACGUAUGUUCCAAGCGUUAUCCGGAUUUAUUGGGCGUAAAGCGAGCGCAGACGGUUUUUUAAGUCCGAAGUGAAAGCCCACAGCUUAACUGUGGAAGUGCUUUGGAAACUGGAUGACUUGAGUGCAGUAGAGGAGGGUGGAAUUCCAUGUGUAGCGGUGAAAUGCGUAGAUAUAUGGAGGAACACCAGUGGCGACGCGGCUCUCUGGACUGUAACUGACGUUGAGGCUCGAAGUGUGGGUAGCAAACAGGAUUA
rnacentral:rRNA from 1 species